rnacentral:lncRNA from 1 species
GAGAAGUUUGGCUAAGCAUCAGGUUCAUUAACCUUUGGGUGACUUUUUCUCAAUAGAUACAUGGCUGUUGCAGAAGCAGCUUCAGGAAAAGAAUAUUGCUUUUCAGUUGGCCUCUUGCCUUGACUGAUGAGAUGUUAACAGCUCCUAAGAAGAAGAAAAUCCAUAUGCCAAAGACGACCGUGGGCUCAAUUUCCUACAGAGGAAGAGUGUUGGAUGAAGCAUGGAAGCAGGUUUAAAUGGGGCUAAUAAAAGAAGUCUCCACAGUUGUGCACAAAUAGUAUAAGAUGGGGUGCAAAACCUGUGCUCCCCCAGCUCUGGUUCAGUGACAAGAGGACAAUCACACAGGUGACAGAAGCGUGCCAGCAUGAUAUGAAGGAACAUUGGCUCUGGUCUACCGAGAGCUUUGUAAAUGCCUAGUGAUCUGCUUAGGGCAAGUCAUGUGCAAGCACCUGAGAACUUGCUACGCUUCAGGCAUCGGAACACAUCAAGUUCACUGCUGAACAUGGAUUUCAUCGACCAAUCAUUAUACUCCCUAAGUCAUGAGGUGAACAACUUUCAAAGACAUGAAGAAAACCCUGUAUAUAGGGGAAGAAAAGACUGGACUGUGCAGGGGAGAGGAAGCAUCCAAACGUUAAUGGCUAUUGAAACAUCCACUGAAAUGUCACCAUCCUCUGCAAGUUGAGAUGACUAUUUCAUAGUCAUGAAAAGAGAAUAGAAGACCCGUCGAAGAACGUUUGCUUCCUGUUACAAGAAAACGUUUUUAUUCUUCUUAAACGAACAAACUGAUCGGCUGUGAGUUUGUACAGGAACCCCUUAUUGAUAUCUGAAAGCAUCCAAAAACAUUCUCCCACCUUAGUACUUUUUUAUGCCAGUAAGAUCAGCUGAGACAGAUAGAAUAAGCAACAGAGAUUUAUACUACCCAGAAAGUGUUUAGCUACUGAGAAGUGAAGACGCAGUGAAUGAAUGACUUGGUUUAUUAUAUUUUUUCCCACAUGGCUUUGCAUUAGAGGGGUUAGCUUUCUCCAUCCAAUUUACUCUGAUCAAAUAAUGUCAGUGUAUUAGGUUUAAUGGGCCCACUUCAAAUUAGAUUAAAGAAAUCAUAUUUAACAAAAAAAAGUAUUUUGGAAAGAAUAACAAUACCAUUAAAAAUCUAAUUUACUUUUCACUUUUUAAGCUCUUUACUUAUAGAUACAUCUUCUUCUGCUGUGAGAACAGAAGAGUUUGACUUUCGUUUUUAAUUACUUUUACUUUUGGGUUGUUGUGUCAGAAUACUGAAGCUUCUCUAAAAGAAAAAUAUCACUUACUUGGCCCUUCUGAAAUAUUUUGAAUUCACACUCCUUCACUGUCAUUACAGUGAAGAAAAUCAGAUUAGGGAAAUUAGAUUAGUAGGAAGUACCAUACUCUCAAGUAAAAAUAUGUAACCCUUUUCAUUCUUUAAACUCACUGAAAUUAGGGGCAAAAGAAACAGAAGUGCAGCUAAGCAAACAAGUAAUGAAAACUUCAUAACAAAAUUGUCCUGUGAUGGUCUGUUCUUGAGAUACAUCAAUUUGUAGCCUCUUUGCAAACUUAGAUGCCUCAAGUUCAGUGUGUUUCUCAUUCUUCCCCAUUUUGGAGGCCAUAUAUAAAGCUAAAAUAAUUUUAAUGGAGUCUGAAAGUUUCAAAGCUUAGGGUCUAUUCCAAUAUUUAGCUUUGCAUGAGAUGAAAAUUACUGAGAUAUUUUUCUUCUGGGAAGAUUUCCUUGAGAAUUCAAAUCAUGAAAGAACCAUGACUUAGAAUAGAAGAGAAAAAAGAAAGGCAAUUAUUAGGAGUUAUUUUAGGUGUUUUCUUACAAAAUUCAGGCUCUCACUGCCAUCUGAAUGAAAUGCAAACACUGAAAUUCAGAGAUUGGCUGUGUCCACUACAGAGGCCUUGGACAGAUUAUAAGCAUUAUUGUGGUUUCACUUUGCAUCAGGUAUUACACUCUUGAAAUCCAUUUACAAUUGCAAACUGGUGUAAAAUACUGUAGGUGAGCAAUCUGACGCAAUAAUCGCUGGAGCAUUAUGGAAAUCCUAUAAAAAUCACCCCCAUAAAAGCCUUUCUAUAAAGUCACAUCUUAUAACAAACUGGUGUCUACAGGCUUGAAGCACAGUGCCUGGGAUAAUCAUGCACACUUGAGAGACUGUAAAUAGCUUUUCAGGUCCUCAGAACACAUGCAUUUAUUAUUUAAGCUCAAGGAAAACAAUAACACAUUAUCCCUCCUUAUACAAAACACAGCAUACCCUUAUGUACUUUAUUGGUGAUGAGGACAGAGCAACCUUUCUUUCUCUCAGGUGCACAAAGUCGAAAUAUUUAGUGUCCCUUCACAGUGUCUUGAGAGAGAUAGGAGAAGAAAUAUAUAACUUCACUCUCACUUUGCCUUCCCUUUGAGAUGUUUAGUACUUCUAAACUGACCCCAGGGGUCAGUCCUGAGUCCAGUCUUGCUCAAUGUAUUCAUCAAUGACCUGGAGGAAGGCACAGAGCGCACCCUCAGCAAGUGUGCUGAUGAUACUAAACUGGGGGGAGAGGCUAACACACCAGAAGACUGUGCUGCCAUUCAGAAGGACUUGGACAGGCUGGAGAGGUGGGCGGAGAGGAACCUCCUGAAGUUCAACAAAGGCAAGGGCUGGGUCCUGCACCUAGGGAGAAAUAAUCCCAUGCAAGAGACAUGGCGCUACUGGAGAGAGUCCAGCGGAGGGCGACAAAGAUGAUGAGGGGACUGGAGCACCUCUCCUCUGAAGAAAGGCUGAGGGAGCUGGGCCUGUUUAGCCUGGAGAAGAGAAGACUGAGAGGCGACCUCAUCAAUGUGUACAAGUAUCUGAAGGGAGGGUGUGGAGAGGAUGAGGCCAGUCUCUUCUCCGUGGUGCCCAGUGACACAGUGCUCUGACAGUGACCAUAGAUUAGUCUUAGAAUAAAUGCAGGAGCCCCUGGGGGGAACCUUUUGGU